UAGCAAGCAAUUUUCCUUUGCUCUUCCAGAAGUGCUGCAAUGUAAACGACUAGACAGCUUUAUCACUAACCCAAUUCUUCUGUAUAUUUUUAUCACUUUGAAUAUUGCAUUUUAAAGUACAUCAUCUUAGUCUGGUCUGGGGAUGCUAUAAAACCUUUAUCACACACAUAGGCAUGUCACCUAUAGAUACACCAUAAGUGGCUUAAGCAACAUUUAUUUAUUUCUCACAGUUAUGGAGUCUGGGAAGUCCGAGAUGAAGCUGCCUGCAGAUCCAGCGUCUGGUGUGGGUCCCCUUUCUGGUUUGUAGAUGAUAAUGACCACGUGGCAGAGAGCAGAGAGGGAGUAGCUCUCUUUCCCUUGUUAUGUGGACACUAAUCUCAUCAAAGGGGUUCCACCCUCACAAACAAUUUACUUCUAAAAGGUCCCACUUCCCAGUGCUAUCACAUUAGAACUUCAGCAUAUAAAUUUGGAGGAAACACAAGCAUUCAUUCCAUGGUACACCCCUUCUGCUUGUGGAACCAAGGAUGAUGUCAGCUGAAAAGACUUGAAGACUGCAGAUGAAUCAAAGGCAGGAGUGUCUCCAUGGCUGGGGAAAGAAAUCAUCUGAAGUCAUCUUCAUUCACAUGUUUAGCUGUUGAUACUGCCUGUUGUCAGGACUCUCAGCUGGGGCUGUCCCAUGGAAACUUAUGUAUGGCCUCUCCAUGUAGCCUGGGUUGCCUCACAGCAUGACGGCCUUGGACAUCUUACCUGGUGCUCAGGGCUCCAAAGGGGCUGGUGCUGUAUGCUUUUGGAUAGUAGAUGGAGGAAAACAAGAAAAAGUGGUCAUGGUGCAAUAGUCAUCUGGUGGUAGUAUUAAUUAAGAGGUACCCUCAUGAAUGGAAUCAGUACCCUUAUAAAAGGACUGUGGGAGCUUGUUCACCUCUUCUGCCAUGCAAGGAUGCAGAGAAGGUACCAUCCAUGAGGAACAGGCUCUCACCAGACAACGAAUCCAAAUAUAGACAUUAGAGUCAGAGGCCUGGGUUCACUGGCUGUCUAAUGAGGCCAACAGAAUAUAAACAGAAGGCCCUAUUCAGUCGUAGCCAACAUGUAUAAAGAGUCACAAAGGUGGGUGUGGGAGUCUUCCUGCGUUGGAAAUGGGAAUUCACGUGUUUGCAGAAAUCCAGUUUACUACGCACCUGUAGGUAUACACAGAUGAGAAACAACUGUACCUGUCCAAAAGAGACUCCUCGUAAAUAAAUAACACAAUCAGAAAUAUGAAGUUUACCCUUUGUAUCUUCAGACCACGUCCUAGAAAUUACCAAUGCUACCUUUCUAAAACUUGGCAACCCCUGCCUUUUUUUGUUGCAAUCCUAGGGGUUGCAAUCCUAGUCUCUGAUAAAACAGACUUUAAAC
rnacentral:lncRNA from 10 species